ACACCUGCUUAGGUAUCUGCCUGAGAACUUUGUUAAGUUUUUCAAAAGAGAACCAUGUAUGGUUUGAGGAUCCAGAACAAAUGAGCAAAACAUUAACUGGGAAGAUAUCGCUUGCACAAACCUGUCAUGGAAGCCUGUUCACUUUGUGCUGCUGCUUCUGCUGCUACGAGACCUGCGAGUGCUGCCUCGAGACCAUCUGCUGCUGCUGCUAGUCCAGCUCGAGGAGACCAUCAAGGAGGUGCGGCCAAGCGGGACACUCAGAGCUGUCCCAUACAUGGGCCAUGGACCAUGGUUAUCAAUAAAAUGCUGUGCUUAUGCAAGUAUGUUAAAGAUGUAUUAAUGUCUGUAUGAUGUAAUGUUCGUGUGUCGGGGUGUGUGCGUGUGUGUGUGUGCAUAUUUGCAUUGAAAAAUGUUUUGUAAAAUGCUGUAAAUCUGCUGUAUCUUGCUCAGAUGAAUGCGUUAUUGUGAUCCUGCUGUAUCAAACUGAAAUUACCGCACUUCUAAGUCAGUAGGAUACAAGAUUACCUUUUUUUUAA